GUGGACUGUGGUGGAGGUUGCCCGCGGAGAGCCGGGCUGCGCGCCACGGCGGAAAGGCGUCCGCUUUGCGGACGGGGAGGCAUCGUCAAAGUGAACAGUGACUACUCCAUGUUUAGAUUUGCCCCUGUUCUCUGUUCUACAGUCUACACGAGAAGUUGGACAUCGCAAUCAUCAAGGCCACGAACCAUGUGGAGUGCCCUACAAAGGAGAAGUGCAUCAAAUGUUCCAGUACUCUGAGUUUGUUACCUCUGAUGUACUCUUAAUUAUCGCUCUUUUGUUACCUCUUUGUAACAGAAGCUGGACAUCACAAUCAUCAAGCCAGGAUAUCUAGUGCUUGUAUUUGAUCUUUGGCACACCAACAGAAUCAUGAAUAAGCAGGAAGAAAAUUGAUGCCGUGCUGAGAACAUAAGCGGAAGACUGUUGGCUUUGUAACCGUUCUCCCAAGCGCUGUGGAUAGCUAUGCAUUCUGUCAGUUGCAACUCGUUUUUCUCUCUCUACUGAACCGAUGCGCCGACUAGCGGCUAUAACUUCCGAUGAACCGAAGCAAUUUGAGAUUGUAAGCAGAUAGCAUGAUGUGAUGUAACGUGAUACGUCUCCAAUGUAUUUAUAAUUUUUGAUUGCUCCAUGCUACUUUAUCUAUUGUUUUGGACUAUAAUGGGCUUUAUUUUCCACUUUUAUA